UAGGAUUCCCCCAGUAACUGCGAGUGAAGAGGGAAGAGCUCAUCAUUGGAAUCUGGCAGCGUUGCGCUGUCCGAGUUGUAGAUGAGAAGAGUAGGUCAUCUGGACUGCGUGGUGUCCAAGUACAAUAGGCCGUCAGUGGGACAUCAUAGAGGGUGACAAUCCCGUCCUUGACAACCAACGUACGAGUCCAUUACGAUGCCUAUCUCAGAGAGUCGAGCAGUUUGGGAUUUGCUGCUUAAACAUGGGAGGUAGAUUCCUUCUAAAGCUAAAUACAGGCAAGAGACCGAUAGAGAACAAGUACCGCAAGGGAAAGAUGAAAUAGAACUCUGUGAAGGGAGUCAAAAAGACGUGAAAUUGUUGCGAGAGAAGCGAUUCAAGUCAGCGUAGCUAGGCCCAUCAAGCUUCUUGCUUUGGACUAGCUUUGCCAGCGGUCUUGUCCUUUUAGAGACUUGACUUUUGACGUGCCCUGUCCGGUCUAACGGGCAGGCCCUUCGGGGCCAGUGGCAUGGCUGGUGGAAUGGCUUGCAAUCGACCCGUCUUGAAACACGGACCAAGGAGUCUAACAUGUGUGCGAGUAUAAGGGUGGCAAACCCGUAUGCGCAAAGAAAGUGAUAGCCUUUUAUGGCUGAGAAUGGCCUGAUGACCAGACAAGCAAUAUUAUGUUCCUCGUACGGUCAUUGCCCAAGUCCCGUGGUCAGAUCCCAUGGACAUGGAGUUAGAGCAUACAUGCUAGGACCCGAAAGAUGGUGAACUAUGCCUGGACAAAGCGAAGCCAAAGGAAACUCUGGUGGAGGCUUGUAGCGAUUCUGACGUGCAAAUCGAUCGUCUGAUCUGGGUAUAGGGGCGAAAGACUAAUCG
rnacentral:rRNA from 1 species